UAGGGAAUUGUUCGCAAUGGGCGCAAGCCUGACGACGCAACGCCGCGUGGAGGAUGAAGGUCUUCGGAUUGUAAACUCCUGUCGUGUGGGACGAACAUUCAUCGGGCUAAUCACCGAUGGACUGACGGUACCACGAAAGGAAGCCCCGGCUAACUCUGUGCCAGCAGCCGCGGUAAUACAGAGGGGGCGAGCGUUGUUCGGAAUUACUGGGCGUAAAGGGCGCGUAGGCGGCCUGUUAAGUCAUACGUGAAAUCCCCAGGCUCAACCUGGGAACUGCGUGUGAUACUGGCGGGCUUGAAUUCGGGAGAGGGAUGCGGAAUUCCAGGUGUAGCGGUGAAAUGCGUAGAUAUCUGGAGGAACACCGGUGGCGAAGGCGGCAUCCUGGACCGAUAUUGACGCUGAUGCGCGAAAGCCAGGGGAGCAAACGG
rnacentral:rRNA from 1 species